rnacentral:misc_RNA from 1 species
AGCACAAUACUUUUAAGACGAGGGUGUAUACAUACAACUCAAAGUAGGAUCUUACAAACAUAGACACUUUAGGGCUUUUCGGUUAGCUCUUAAUCCGUGUGAAUUGAGUGGGACUGGAUCGGUUUGAAUCCCAAAUAAGUCAAAAUUCUUCUUAAUUUUUUCCAAUCUCAUUCAAUUCAUGUGUAUUGUGAAUAACCAAACAAGGCCUUAAUGUGGUGUAGUUGUUCCAAACCAGGGAACAUAAAUGAACACAGGAUCUGUCGACCUGACGCUCCCAACUCCAAAAGUGAAAAAAGAAAACAGAACGAAGGAAAGGAAAACAGAUCUUUAUUGAAAGCAUCAUGCAACAACAAACGGAUCGGAUGGAGAACUGGUCGACGGAACAUCCACACGCGAGCCAUGCAUGCAUGCCCUGGGCACGCACUGACUCCAUCAGACGAGGCGGCGGCAAAUGGUGACGCCGUCGGCGAUGGCGAGCUGACAGACCUCAACGCGCUCGUCCGCGGAGAGGCGAACGUUGAGGUCCCUGAUGGCGGCCGAGAACCUCCUGUCGAUGUCCGACAUGGGCGUCUCCGGUGGCAUGGCCACGGUCCCGCACCAGAGCGUGUUGUCGUACACGAUGGUGCCGCCGACGCGCACCAGGCGGAGCAGCUGCUCGUGGUAAUUGACGUAGUUGGGCUUGUCGGCGUCGACGAAGGCGAAGUCGAAGGCGCCGAGGUUGGCCUCGUCGGCGAGGAGCUCGUCCAGGUUGCCCAGCGCGGGGCCCUCGCGGAAGUCGACCUUGCCCGCCACGCCGGCGCGCUCGAUGAAGGGGCGGCCGAUGUCGUAGUAGUCGCGGUUCACGUCGAAGGCGAUGACCUUGCCGUCGUCGGGGAGCGCCAGCGCCGUGGCCAGCAGCGAGUAGCCCGUGUACACGCCCACCUCCAGGGUGCGGCGGGCGCCGGUGAGCUUGAUCAGCAUCCGCAGCAGCUGCGCCUCGUCGGGCGACGACUGCAUGAACCCCCACUCGUGCUUGUCGGUCACGAGGCGCAGCUCACGCAUGCACUCUGGCUCGUGCGGCAGCACCGACGUGUCGAGGACAUACUGCAACACACACACACACACAAAAGUCCUCCGUAUUUAAAAUAAUACACUAAAACUAGCAAUAAAAAGUAGAGAAAUAAAGAGUCCAUGGCAAACUAGACAAGGCAAAAUUUUGAAAUGGAAAAAAAAGUUGCACGUGUGUACGUAUACCUUGUAGAGGGCCUCGCUCUUGAGCAGCGUCUUGUUGCUGCUGUCCAUGCCGCUGUGGACGAGGGCAAUGGUGUCACCGGAGGGCGCCAUGGAUGAUGGUGCCUGCCUCUCCAAGCCGCCUCUUGUCUAUAGCUGGCCGGCGCAGGUACUUGAGCUCUGCUAAGGUCCUUCGUCCGGCCUGGAAGCGGUGACACCGUCUAUUUAUGAGCCGGUCGGAGGCCGGAGAGAGACGGGGAGGGGAGUAGAGUACGUAGAAGCAGAAGAGCCGGCGACGGCGAAGUUGACUAUCACUUCAUUCGCUCCGCCGCCAUUCUUAAAUCAUACUAGCCUUUUGUUCGGAUUUAAA